rnacentral:lncRNA from 1 species
CAUCUCAUUGCUGACUAUGGUUCAUGUUUGCGGCUUCAUUCACUCAUUCACUCCUUUAUGUGAUACCUAUUGAGCCCUCCCUGUGUGCCAGGCCCAGUGCAGGACACUGGGAUACAGAAAACCUCAAUCUACCCCAAUCCUGCUGCUGCUCCCGCUCCCUCCUCCGCGCCACUCCUACUGAAAUCCAUCAGUCCCGUGGUCCAGGCCAGGCUCACGGUGCCUUCCAAUAUGACAACUACCAAGUCAUAAAAAUGGCUGUGGGGUCAGGUGUUCCUUCCCAGCAAAGAUUUUCGAGCACCUGUUCCAGACCCUGAUG